UACGGAGGAUGCGAGCGUUAUCCGGAUUUACUGGGUUUAAAGGGUGCGUAGGCGGAUUUUUAAGUCAGCGGUAAAAUGUCCGGGCUCAACCCGGGCCGGCCGUUGAAACUGGGGAUCUUGAGUGGGCGAGAAGUAUGCGGAAUGCGUGGUGUAGCGGUGAAAUGCCUAGAUAUCACGCAGAACUCCGAUUGCGAAGGCAGCAUACCGGCGCCCGACUGACGCUGAGGCACGAAAGCGUGGGGAUCGAACAGG
rnacentral:rRNA from 1 species